rnacentral:rRNA from 1 species
GUCCACGCUGUAAACGAUGAUCACUAGACGUCAGUUCGGCUCUGCUGAAUUGGUGUCGUAGCUAACGCGUUAAGUGAUCCGCCUGGGGAGUACGGUCGCAAGACUAAAACUUAAAGGAAUUGACGGGGGUCCGCACAAGCGGUGGAACAUGUGGUUUAAUUCGACACUACGCGAGGAACCUUACCUGGACUUGACAUGUUUUUGACAACCGUAGAAAUACGGCUUUCUAGGCUUCGGUUUAGACAAUUUCACAGGUGUUGCAUGGCUGUCGU